rnacentral:rRNA from 1 species
CCCUUAGACGUUCUGGGCCGCACGCGCGCUACACUGACAAAGGCAACGAGCUUUCCUUUACCGAAAGGUACGGGUAAUCUUUUGAAACUUCGUCGUGCUGGGGAUAGAUCCUUGCAAUUUUUGAUCUUAAACGAGGAAUGCCUAGUAAGCGCAAGUCAUCAACUUGCGUUGAUUACGUCCCUGCCCUUUGUACACACCGCCCGUCGCUACUACCGAUUGAAUGGUUUAGUGAGGCCUUCGGAUCCGCGACUCGUUUGUGGAGAAGUUGGACAAACUCAGUCAUUUAGAGGAAGUAAAAGUCGUAACA